GACGAGGGGUCCUAGCGUUGUUCGGAAUCAUUGGGCGUAAAGCGUGUGUAGGCGGCCAUCCAAGUCAGUUGUGAAAUCCCCGGGCUUAACCCGGGAAGUGCUUCUGAUACUGUUUGGCUUGAGUACUGGAGAGGAUAGUAGAAUUCCCGGUGUAGCGGUGAAAUGCGCAGAUAUCGGGAGGAACACCUAUGGCGAAGGCAGCUCGCUGGGACGUUACUGACGCUGAGACGCGAAAGCGUGGGGAGCAAACAGG
rnacentral:rRNA from 1 species